AGAAGAAAUUUCUUGUCACAAGCUAUGCAACCCUUCAAUCCUCAACAUGCUAUGCAAUCCUUCAAUCUGGAAAAAAAAAAUCACACUAUUUUAAGUCAUUUCGUCAUAGUGCAUAAUAAAGAUAAUCAUUAAUAAAUAUGAAAUAAUUAAGAAAUAGAACUUACUGAACAUUUUCGGCAAAAUUAUGUGAAUCAUCUUCUUCAGUUAUAAAAUCCCAGAUGAUUGCAUAUAUGUUAGCACAUACUAUGUCUUCAUUGCAAUAUUUUUUAAUAGUUCGUCAAUUUAUUUUUGUAUCCAACAUAUAUUUUUUCAAAUAAUAGCAUAAAACAUCAUUCUCUAUAAUGCAAAUA
rnacentral:lncRNA from 1 species